UGGGGAAUAUUGCACAAUGGAGGGAACUCUGAUGCAGCGACGCCGCGUGAACGAAGAAGGCUUUCGAGUCGUAAAGUUCUUUUAUAUGGGAAGAGAAUGACGGUACCAUAAGAAAAAGCCCCGGCUAACUACGUGCCAGCAGCCGCGGUAAUACGUAGGGGGCUAGCGUUGUCCGGAAUCACGGGGCGUAAAGGGUUCGCAGGCGGAAAUGCAAGUCAGGUGUAAAAGGCAGUAGCUUAACUACUGUAAGCAUUUGAAACUGCAUAUCUUGAGAAGAGUAGAGGUAAGUGGAAUUUUUAGUGUAGCGGUGAAAUGCGUAGAUAUUAAAAAGAAUACCGGUGGCGAAGGCGACUUACUGGGCUCAUUCUGACGCUGAGGAACGAAAGCGUGGGUAGCAAACAGG
rnacentral:rRNA from 1 species